AUGGGCGCCAAGGGAGUCAGCAUAUCUCACAUCAAGAGCCAUCUCCAGAUGUACAGGUCAAGCUCUAGCAACACCACCUGCAACGGUCUACCCAAUGCAUCCGUUGCUAGCCGUCGAGAUCACCGUGUCGUUGACGGGCCAGGCCACAGGAACGGAAAUGACAUGGGGGAGAGGACCAACGAUGCUUCUUCUUACGCCGUGCCUCCCCACGGCCACCGCUCAUUGCCGCCAUACCAAUUACCGUCGAUCGAAGAAGUUUUCAGGAGCUGGGAGCAGAGUAGAGGGCGGUUACCAUGGAACUCCAGCAUGCCAUCAGAGAAGGCGACUCGCUGGGCAUGCCAUGCUGACAGAAGCACGCGUCAACAGCACCAGCCGGCGGCGGGGUGUGACCUGACGCUGUCGAUCGGCCGUUGGGAGGCGGAGGCGGAGGCGGCGAGCAGUGAUGCUGACAUCUCGAGCACGACCACCGAGGAGGUCGCCGUGCCGGCAAGGGAUCGAGGAGCCGGCGGUCACCAUCGCUCCGCCUUCGCCACCGGUCUGGUCCUUGACCUGAACCUCGACCUGGCCGUCUCAUCUUCUUGUCUUUGA
rnacentral:rRNA from 1 species